GAUGAACGCUGGCGGCGUGCCUAAUACAUGCAAGUCGAGCGAACGGACGAGAAGCUUGCUUCUCUGAUGUUAGCGGCGGACGGGUGAGUAACACGUGGAUAACCUACCUAUAAGACUGGGAUAACUUCGGGAAACCGGAGCUAAUACCGGAUAAUAUUUUGCACCGCAUGGUUCAAAAGUGAAAGACGGUCUUGCUGUCACUUAUAGAUGGAUCCGCGCUGCAUUAGCUAGUUGGUAAGGUAACGGCUUACCAAGGCAACGAUGCAUAGCCGACCUGAGAGGGUGGUCGGCUACACUGGAACUGAGACUCGGUCCAGACUCCUACGGGGGGCAGCAGUAGGGAAUCUUCCGCAAUGGGCGAGAGCCUGACGGAGCAACGCCGCGUGAGUGAUGAAGGACUUCGGAUCGUAAAACUCUGUUAUUAGGGAGGAACAUAUGUGUAAGUAACUGUGCACAUCUUGACGGUACCUAGUCAGAAAGCCACGGCUAACUACGUG
rnacentral:rRNA from 1 species